CUUUGGUAAAAGAGGUAGUGAAUGACAAUAAUUUUCUGAAAUGCAAUUCUACUUCAAGGUCCCUGACACAUGAUAAACACAGUUUUAUCUGUCCUUGAUGUAUGUGUACAUGAAACAGUUUUAGGAAACCUGGAGCAUCAUGGGCAGAUCUAAGAUGUGCUCUUGACCGAUUGGAACCACGAGUUUCAGAGGAAUAUGGGGAAGCCCAGAGCAAGAAUUGUGCAAGAGUCUGGUCUGACAGAAGCCAACUAGUCCAUAGUUUCUCAACAAGCUUUGGGCAUCAAAAUCCUUUUAAAAAACAGGAAGAAUUGAAGGAAGAUUACUUUGAGUGAUAUGUCACUUUGCUUUUCUCUAUAUUUCUAUCUCUGUGGAUAGAACUGAACUUGUACUAUGCUAUAUGAUAAGGAGGAAUUACAGCAGGUAUACAGGUAUUUUAAUUUUCCAAUGUAAAUAUAUUUCAUUGGAAGCAAUUGCUUCUGCUCUUAACUAUUCUGGUAAAUGAUGAAUGUUGUUCUACAAAUACUGGGAUAACCUAAAAACUUUUAAGGAUCUAUAUCAUGUUAUGGUCUUUAGUUAAUACUGGUUUAAUUUUUGAUGGGUCAUUUAAAAUUUAAACUUCUGUCAUUUGUAAUAAUUUGUUUAUUAAGUAUAAAUCAUUGUCAAAAACAGGAUGUUGGCCAUGACAUCUUUCUGUUUUGUGUAUUAUUAUAAUAAUAAAUUUAUUUGCCGCAUUGCAACAUAAAUAAACAUGUACAGCUUUGGCUGAACCAGCAUAUUGACUUUCCCACUUUAUCCUGCAAAGACUCCUGUUUAGACACUAGUUUAUGCCAGCUUUCAUCUAUAAAAUAGAAUGCAAGUUAUAGGAAUAAAUGGAUCCUUUGCUCAAGUUGUUGUUUUAACCUGGGAACAAAUUUUAUUUACUUAUUUAUUGGAGAUAUGUCUCAUCUUUUUCUUAGUUUGAUGAUAGGAUAAAUGUGUUUAUCACCCGUUGGGAUUUUUUGCUUUUAUGUAAGGAUUUGGGAUUUUAGUCUGUUACCAUCCUUCAUUUUUAAAUAUAUAAUAAAAGAACUCACAUGCACUGCAGAAAUUGAAUUUCUAAAAUUAUACUUUAUUUCUCUGUCUUUUUCUCGCUCUCAGACACACACAUGUACACACACACAAGCACACAUAGAAAGGGCAGUGUUAGGUUAGAGUGGAAAUUUGACUUAGAAUCAAUUUUAUGCAGUCAGUGACUACAACUAAUAGUUAUCUAAAUGUGUACAUUUGUGUUCUUCAAAUAUUUUAAUUUCCAUUGUAGGGGCAUAUACAGAUUUAUCACUUUUUUUCUCAUUUGUUUGCAACUUGCCUAAAGAUUCUCUACAUACUACCUAGCAUCAUGCUUCUAUUCUAAACACUAUUCCCCUUUAAUAUGAGGGACUGAAGAGUUAUAACCGGUAGAUUUAUUCAGGAUAGCUGAAGCAAUUGGAACAAGGGUGUGUUGCGGUGAAAGUCUGACACUGAAAUGUAGACAGCAAUGAGAAACGUCUCAAGCUCAUUCCAUGCAAACCCUACCUGGCAAGAGGCCCAAUUGAUAUUCCCACCUCCCACUUCUUGCAUCACCUAUUGCUCUUUCUAGCCAAAGCCAAUUUUCCAAAUAUUAACACCUUGAAGGAGGAGGCAAGCCAAGCUGGUCAUUUUUUUAACUUAAGCUGGCAAGGUAGAAAGUUGGGUGUGGGAGGGAAUGAAAAACCAAGAUACCGUAUAUACUCGAAUAUAAGCCGAUCCGAGUAUAAGCCGAGGUCCCCAAUUUUACCCCAAAAACUGGGGUAAACUGGGGACUCGAGUAUAAGCCGAGGGUGGGAAAUGAGGCACCUACCGGUUGGGGAAACCCUCCCUCCCUCAGCUGAGAAGGCUGGCGGCUCCCCUGCCCCGCCCUCUCACUGCACCGGCAGGGCUUCCCCGCGCUAAUGCAAAAGCCCGCCAAGUUUGUGCCGGUAAAAUGUGAAAAAAACAAAAAAAAAACAAAAACUCGAGUAUAAGCCGUAUAUACUCGAGUAUAAGCCGAGGGGCUUAAAAAAAAACAACUCGAGUAUAAGCCGUAUAGACCCGAGUAUAAGCCGAGGGGACGUUUUUCAGCACAAAAAACGUGCUGAAAAACUCGGCUUAUACUCGAGUAUAUACGGUACUUUGGUUUUUGGAGUGGGAUAAGGAAUCCAGAAGAUGUGGGAUGUGGGAAGAGUUCCACCAAUAGAAAACUAAACCCCACAGCUCAAAACCAUAAUUGCAGCAAUUUUCUGAAUCAGCUUCCCAGCAGAUUAAUUUUGGAAGCUAAUCAGCUCAGAGUUACAAGACAAUAAAGUUAUAAACUGAACAUGUGCAGGUGUGCAGGUGUGCUUUAAGCUUCCAUCACGUUUCUGUUACAGUCAAAACUCAAUCUUUGCAAACUACAAAUUGGAGUGAGAUAGCACACUAGUGACAGAAGGUAAGUUUAUGUAUUUCUCAGGUACAAAAAAACAUUUGAAUAGCUUUUGCAACUGUUGACAUCAGGACCCUUUAGCAUUCCCAGAGCACCCAAGGUGGACAAAACUGUUGUUCCCCCCCCCAAGAUGUUUGAAAGAUUGAGGGGCCAAAUGGGUGCCUUAAACUUUCAUCCUUUAGUAAUACCGCCAAAUAGGAAGGGCAAAACAAUGCCUUAAUGCCUUUUCACACCUCUCUCAACCUCAACACACAGAAAAAAAUCCUGUUGAACACUUCAGUACCAUUCAGUCUGGACGGCUUCACCGGCCUUCCCUUUGCAAUUUGUCAAUCAAGACACAAAGUGCAACCUCCUAGUUCAUAAUUGACGAGAUAAAGAAACAACUGUUUUCUAUUUCCUUGAUAUUGUAAAAAUCACCAUUUUUGAAUAUUGGAAUUAUGUUCCUCCCACCGUAUUCCUUAUUGCAUGGGAAAAGCUCAAAAUCUUUAUAGAACAAGAUACCACCAAUGAUCAGCAUGCCAAUUAAUUAAAUGAGGUGACAGACCAAAACUAGCUUCUUUUCCACCUAGACAGCACUGUUGAACAGAACGGAAAAGAAAAAAGGA